rnacentral:rRNA from 1 species
AGGGUUUGAUUCUGGCUCAGGAUGAACGCUGGCGGCGUGCUUAACACAUGCAAGUCGAACGGGAAAUACUUUAUUGAAACUUCGGUCGAUUUAAUCUAUUUCUAGUGGCGGACGGGUGAGUAACGCGUGGGUAACCUGCCUUAUACUGGGGGAUAACAGCCAGAAAUGGCUGCUAAUACCGCAUAAGCGCACGGGGCCGCAUGGUCCUGUGUGAAAAACUCCGGUGGUAUAAGAUGGACCCGCGUUGGAUUAGCUAGUUGGCAGGGCAGCGGCCUACCAAGGCGACGAUCCAUAGCCGGCCUGAGAGGGUGAACGGCCACAUUGGGACUGAGACACGGCCCAG